GCCUCAUUGGCUGAAAGGCAGAGUGUCUGUUGAGUAAGCAGAAGCUCACUGGUUCGAAUCGAGCAUGAUGCA